CCCGUUUUGUGGCGGUUCUCUGUGUCGUCUCUUCCGGCUGCAAAGUCCGAGGUAUUCGAACGCCGGUUGAACGAACUAGGGUUUUACAGGGCGGGAAGGGAGAAAGGAAUGGGGGCACUCGAACGUGUCGAACUCGCAUCCGAAGAACUACGGUCCCGGUUCUCGCGCUUGUCGAGUGUGUGGGAACCCUCAUGGUUUGAUCAGGAAGUACGGGCUGAUGUGCUGCCGGCAGUGCUUCCGCAGCAACGCUAAGGAAAUCGGUUUCAUCAAGUGCCGGUGAUGGCUCGGUGGAGAUGAAUAAAAAUCUUCUGAUGUCUUGCUUGAGGAGUAGCCCUUGCAGCAGCCAGCUGGUUUCCUCAUGUGUGGAAGGGCUCUGAACUAAGAGUUACCUGUCUUAUAGUCGGGUAGUCGGGGAUAGUAAUCAUCUGACAUUUGAGCUAAUUAUAGAACGUUAACUACAUUCUUUUGUUUCUUGCAUCGGUACUUACCUUUUGGUCUAUUUAAGGUCAUGUUUGUGGUCAUGAUUUUGGCUGCGGUCUGGCUUAAUGAAUGCCUUCUGUGAGAAAG